GUUGCUCUGGGCGUCUUGUGCCUGCUUGAAGAUGUGAGAGCUCUGUUUUUCCUCUGGCCACCUCAUUAUGCCUCCCUGCCAUGACAGACUCUAAUCCCUCUGGAACCCAGAACACUGACUUGGAGAUUUAAGGGGUCCUGUCUCACCGCCCUUGCUACAAGAUACCCAAACCACCGUGGUUCCCAGAAGAUCUAAUGAAGUAUGGGUAUAUUCAGCGUGGAAGCCACCUCACUGUUUCUGUGAAACCAGAUUCUCAGCUCUGUUUCUAAAGGGAGUACUAUGGAACAGAAAGAAGAAGAGGUCUAGUCUGGUAUCGAUCCUGCUUGUACAGUGAUCCAUGUGCCUCUCAACAGUAAUAGCUAAGGACUUCUAGGAGAAAGAAAAUGAGCACUACAAAACAGAACAGAACAGAACAGAACAAAGAAAAAAAACCAAACCAACCAACAAAAACAAAGGGAAUCCAAACAGACCCUUCACCACAGGCAGCUGGAGAAAUGCUGUUACUGGUGUGAGUCCCCUUAGAACUGGCUGCUUAUCCUAUUUGAACAUCAAGGUACACAUUUGUGAUGCUCAGAAAAUUUAUUCCGUCGAAAAAGUAAACUAUGCCUGACUCAAAGCUGAGGAAGGGCAUUUUUUAUUGGAGAGAAUGAUUUGGAUUGGGAAAAGAGGAAAA